UCACCCCACCUUGAACCCCCACCCUUGCAUUUCAGUUGUAAAUGUGGCUGCUACAUGAAUUAGUAGUGAACCUGACUGGGUCAUGCUUCAGCUUUGAAGGAAGAGCAAUGGCUUAGGAAUGAAUCACAGCGAUUAACCGUGAGUCGGUGUCUUCUUAAGCACGUAUCCAAUUGAGAACACCACAUACACCUAGUCAUCAUGUCUCUUCAGUCAGAGGACACAGCAUUUAAUGUUGAAUGCUAAAAAAGAAUUUCUGAGUCUUUCCAAGAGGAAACAAUGUUGGAAGAACCCCAGGAGUCUGUCUUCCCAAUUGCCCUGUUUUCUACUUCUCCUAAGGAUGAGAUGAGCAUUAUUCUCAAUACCAAGAGGUGAAAGCAACCCAAAUGUCCACUGACAUAUAAAUGGAUACAGAGAAUGGAGUAUAUACAUACAGUGGAAUAUUACUUAGCUUAAAAAGAGAAGGAAAUUCUGUCAUGUGCUAUAACAUUGAUGAACCCUGAAGACAUUAUGGUAAGUAAAAUAAGCCCAGUCGCAAAGAGACCAACACUGUAUGAUUCCACCUGUAUAAGGCAUCUAAAUUGGUCCAACUCAUAGAAAGCAGAAUUGUGGAUGUCAGGGGCUGUGAGGAAGGGGAAAUAGAGAGUUGUUUUUCGAUGGGUAUAGAGUUUCAGUUUUGCAAAAUGAAAAACUUUUAGAGAUCUAUUGCACAACAAUGUGACUAUUGUUAACACUAUUGAACUAUACACUUAGAAAUGGUCAAGAUGCUAAUU
rnacentral:lncRNA from 1 species